UGGAGUGAGAAGCUCUUUGGUCCCGGGCCGGCCCCGCGGGCCCGCUUUCCCACCCCCUGUCUGUUUUUAUCAGACCCUCCUGAUGGCAGGUCUGUGAAAUCUCUCCUGGAGGGGGACUGUGGGUCCCUGGACUGACCUUGUCCUGAUGUGUUUGAUCAGCUGUUUCCGGCCUGCGCUGGGGGAACCAGUGCACGCAGAGCCGGCAGGAGUGGUGUUUGAUCAGAGCAGCUGGGGAGCUCUGGGCUGGGCGAGCUGCUGUCAGCCUUCUGCCCGGCUCUUCUCAGAGGACAGAGAGAGGAGGAUGUCCUGAUGGACCCGCCCAUAGAUUCAAGCACUAGAAUCAGGAACAGACGUCACCUAUGAAGCAUCUGUACCAUUUGGGCAUUUUACAGAUGUUGACUCUCCCCCUCCAGCCAUGGUCAGGAAUGACUCACCCAAGGUCACGGUCAGUUGGGAGCUGGGGCUGGGAAGUUGCACCACGGCUCUGCCUCCAGCAGCCGAUCCCCUGGCCCAGACUGAAGGACUCUCACUGUGGAAAUUAUGAACAUCCUGUCCGCGUGUCUACCUCUCGUUUCCGUGUUGGCUGCCAGCAACGUGACAUUUUCAGCUGUUCACCGCGAAAGGCCGAGUCAGAGGGGAGCAACUUUCCGACAUCUUUCUGGCUGUGCUGCUGAGCUUUGGGCCCAAGUCCUACCAGCCCCAAGGUUUUCCAUGGCCUCAAGACACUCCCUUCGACCCCAGAUCAUUCUUUCGUGCCCACUUUCUCCCUGACUCCCCAGAACCCUGGAACACGCUGGGCCCAGUGGAGCUGGGCAGGGGCUGCUCAAGCCCUCCUGUGAUGAAAGCACCCCAGGAUUUUCUCCACCGCUGUCCAACUAUCUACCCCAAUUUCACAGCGAUACCGCUUGUCCCUGGAACCAUUCUGUGUAUGGCUGGCAGUUCCUCCAGCCCUUGGUCCAUUCGUAGACCUCAGGGAUGUGAGAUAUAAACAAUCCCCCUGCCUCCAGUACUAUGUAGUUAGCUUAUGGUAUGGCGGCUGCAGCAGCGCCUGGGAUAGAGAAACUCUGGGCCCGUCCUUUCUCCUUGGUGCUAGUUAUACCACUGGCAGAGAAUAGGCUCCUGGUCUCCCUGUGAGUCCUUGUUUGACUGGGUCUCUCCUUCGCCCUCAGCCCGCGGCCCUCAGGACUCUUCUCCAGGGGAUGAAGCUGAAGAACACUCCUUGGUUGGGGAGGAGGGCGUGGGGAGAGUCAGACAGCUUCCUCAGAGAGGACUUGAACCACCAGGGGAACCUGCUUUCACACCGUACAUUGUGGUGCUUUCUGGGCUCAGAGUUUCCCAAACAAAAAGCUCCUGAGAUGGAAGAGACAGGCUUUAUCAAAUAAACAAGUAUAGACCAUCGUCUCAGCUUCACUCCCUUUCAGGCUCUGUUCACACACUUGCCUGGGCCCAUCUUCCCAGGGCGGGCCUUGCUCCUGAGCAUCUAUUUGCUGUCUGACUUACUCACCUGUGACGAGCAAACACCUUUCCAUCACGGAUCCCCCACUGUUCUCAUGGAGUCAGACUCCAGCCUGGAAUCUGCCUGCCCUUUCUUCCUCACCAGGUGCUUCCCGAGCUCUGGGAUUAGAGAAGGUGGGGGUGGGGGUCUCAUGAAUAAAUCCAAGUGUUCCAAGAAAGGCCACAGACUCCUGGGUACCAUGGCCAGUGGCCCAAGUUUCAGUCCUGAGACCAUCGGGGCAGCAACCCAGCAGCAAAGGCCACAUGAGAGCCAGGACGUGGACAAAGGGACCCGGGUAGCAGCGUCCUCCCUGGCAGCAAUCCAGAGAGUCUCGGGCAGACAGAACUAGGAAAAUCUUCCUACAAUGGGAUCCAUGCUUGGGGGUCUCCAGGGAGCAAUGGUGUAAAAAGUCACUGUUGAUGCGGCAUCUCGCAGAGGUCUGCUCGGAGCAGAAACGACACUCCAGCUGGACCUUCCCCUCGUGCUGACCAGAACUAGCACGGGCCUUGUGCUCCCGCUGGCUGGCUGUGCUGGGGUUCAGAGUGCAGCUGGCGGCAAGGCCCGCUUCCCUGCCUGCUCUCGGCAAAGCAAGCUGCAGGUCCGGCAAGUCUGAGGCGAA